GCGAGGUAUUCACUCCAUGGGAGGGAAGAUGGCAAUGGCCGAUGCGUGUCUACGCGAUUCUAGCCUGGAUAUGUUUUCGACAAAAGCAUCGAGAAAUCGUUUCCUUUGUUAAACGAAGUAGCAGAGGAAAGAUGAAGAGAUGCGAAAUCGAAUCAAAAUCACAAGUGCUUCUUCACAUACAGACUGCAAAUACCUCCGAAAUUUCUUCGUAGGCGCUAGCCCUCUACCUUGCAAACGUCUAACUUGUCUUUUUCUCUGUUCAUUUGUUUAAUUUUGUUUUUUUAUACAUAUGUGUUUGUUUGGACGUGCUCGAUGAUGAUUGUUAUGCUUUAACCACACCGAAGAGAGGGUUGAGGGGCAUGGGUUAAACCCUUUCGGAUUUAAGCUAAAAAAGUGUUGAUCCCUUGCUCUUGUUCGGUGUUUAUGAGAUGCUUGACGACUCUUCUCUCUAAAAGUUAGAACGAUGUUAAUCGCUGUAUCUUUUAUACUGAAGAUGAAGGCAUUUUUAAGCGCUUUACAAGUAUGGAUUCCUUUUUUGGUUUAAAUCGUUGAGAGGGUUGCCCUUUCCCCCCCGCGUUCUUAUGUGGAAAACGUGGCCAGUUUGACUGAGAGCACAGUAACAUUUUCUGGUUUUAAUGAUCUGGGUUCAAGUUUUGUAGUCUUUUGGUUUGGUUUGCUAAUGUAUUUUAAAAGGUCUGACAUUAAGGAUCCGUUUCUCGUUCGAAACAAACAUUUUCUGGAAAAUGUUGUUAUCCAGUGGUUUUUGAAUGACAUAAAAUAUGAAAUUAUUUUAGCUCAAAAGGGAUAACAUGUCUUGCCGAUGAUAAAUUCUAAGGUCAUUUUAUUUUUUACACCAAAAUUAAUAAAUUAUUUGUUCUCUCAGCAAAAUAUUUUUAUAUACAUGUAGAAAUAUGUAUAUCUAUAUGUGUAAAUACAUAUACACACAACUACAUGUAUUCGUUUGCAUACACACGUAUAUGAUAUAUGCAAGGGGUCCCCUGUUUCUUGUGUUACCAUUAUCGUGUCUGGCCAAGAAAAAGCCAAAAUUUUGCCCUCUCCCAUUAAAUUAGAUAGAAUAAUGUGGUCAAUGUCUAGAGUUGCUGAUUUGGCAUCAUGAUUCCCGUAGAAUCUGUACUGUUUCAGUUCGUAUUAGCUUCACUGGUGCCAAUGUAGCAGCAGGUUAUUAGAUGAAAGCAACCUUUUGUCACUGUAGGCAUAUAAUCCAUGAAAAAAUUGCUUGAAAGGAUUAGAACACAGCCUUUGCUUAUAAAAAUUGUCACAUGUCUUGUGCAAGUCCUAAUACAAUUUUACAGGAACAGCAGAUGAAGUAUGGUUUUAGAAUUUUGGAAACAGAUGGCUGUUUUAGAUUAAAAGGGUUGGAGCCAUCAACUAAGUUGAAUUCUUUGUUGACUAUGGAAUAUACAACUGUAUUGCUGGUAAGCAAUUACAUAAUUUUAUAGAAUAAUGCUAUGUGGUCUGAUAAUUGGACUGAAUAGCUGUGCCAAAUAGGUUGAAAGCCCUAUUCUGUCCUUGCUGUGCACUCUCCAAUUUUAAAGCUUGUCAUGGCUGUAAGGGGUGUUGGGUGGAUAACUUUUUAAGGGAGCUGGAGGGCUGCAACACGGGUCUUCUCAUGUCAAUACAAUGUUUUGGGACCUGCCAUGCCCUAGGACUGUUGUGUCUGUUUGUUUUUCCUUUUAGAGUCAUUAGAUCUUCACUUUUCUGCAUGAUUUAGGAUCGGGAUGCAUGUUGGCAAGCAUUUGAAUUCUGAAACCAUGUUCCUGUUGGUUGCUACGUUUUAUUCAAGUGGCACACGUGUAAUGAUGGUUCUGUCUGGUCCAAUUAACUAGUUUUAUUGAAACUCUACUUAAUGUGAAGGCCAUUACUUAAAUCUCUUUGUUUUUCCCAUUUUCUAUUCCUAUUGCCUGUACUUCCUAGAGAAACUUUAUAAUUUUAUCUCUGAAACACAGCAUCAAGCUAUGAAUUCUUCUGUUAAAUGAAAUGGCAAAAGAAAUACGAACUGAUGCAAAAUCAAACCAAAAAAAAAAAAUGUACUUUUGGACAUGCAGAUUCUAUAUUCCCAUGGAUGUCUGCGCUUUCUCGUAAGUACUACAUUCUUGUACAUUACCUUGACAAUGUGUUUUUGUAUUAGCUUGUUUACAUGAUUUAAUUAUCAGGAUAUAAGUUUGUACUAGUGUGCCUGAUGGCAAUGACAUCCAAUAAACAGUUUUUGUGAUGAUUGUUUUGCUUUAACCGCAUUGAGAGGCUACAGGGGUUUUAGAUCCAUGGCUUAGGAUAAUGAUUUGUGUGCUGACUUAGUUGGUCAAGACAAGGGGGCCGAUUGGGUGGAAUGCAUAGAUUGGGUAUUUUGCUUAGUCGAUUUCUUGUUUUUGUUUGACUAAGUCGGUUCAUAAAUUAUUAUUUGCUUCUUUUGAAGUUUAAAUCCUUGAGAGGGGUGUCUUUUCUUGAGCUCUCUCAUGUGGAUAAGUUAGGGCAAUAUGACUGAGCAUUGUGCUCCUUUUUGGUUCGUAAAGUUUUGAUCUCAAGGUUUCUGGUAGUAUCGUUCCAUUUGAGAAGUGAUCUUAAGGUUUAUGGUUAGCAGUUAAUGCUGUUUUGGCCGCAGGUUUUACAUUUCCAGCAGGGUAUUUUUAUUGUUUAUUUCCAUAUCUUCAACUGAUGUCUCAGCCAAAUUUGUUGAAUGGGGCACCACUUAUCCUUGCCAAUUAAGAUAAAUUUAAAAUAAAUUUUGCCAUUACGUUAACAGUGAUUUUUCUUGACUUUGGUGCUUGAGUUCCAAACUUGCAAAGAUAUCUCUCGCAAGAAUAAGUGGAAAUAAAAUUUUAAAAUUAUUAGUUUUUAAAAUUCUUCACAAAUUAUCUACCUUUGUUUUUGGAACACAAGUUAAAGUUAAUUAAAAGUUGAAGGGCCUGUUCUCUUGGUUGUUUUUGGGUCGUUUUUUGUUUUCAGUUUUUCAAAACACUAAGGGUCUGUUCUUUUUGCUCUUUUCAACCCGUUUUGAGUUUUCAGUUUUUCAAAACACUGAAAAUGCGUUCUCUUUUCUGUUUUCAAAAAUGUAUUUUCAAAAACAAGAAAAAAAAAAUUAUAAAAGAAACCCAAAACAACAUUUUGUUGUUUUGGGUGUUUUCAGUGAAAACACAGCCAAAUUACCAAAACACGAAAAAUGCUCCCCCCCCUCCCCCUUGGCGCACAUACCCAAAUCUCUAUCUCUUCUGGCCUUUCCCCUCUCUUCUCACUACACACACCCUGAUCUUUCCUCUCUUUGUUUCUCCUCUCUUUUCUUUUGGUUGUCGAUCGCCAUUACCAUUAUCGUCGUUAAUCGCUUUCGCCACUGCCAUCGAUUGCCCCCAUCUCUUAAACCCUAAAAUCGAGAAGAGCGAAAGCUGUUGGAGCUAAAGAAUUAGCUGGAGAAACUAACCUCGGACGAUCAAUCGAGACGUGAAACGCAAACCAAGAGAUGAAGUCUCAAUUUGGAAAUGAUAAUGAUUUUUUAUGGUUUAUGUGGAGUAUUAUAUUAUAAUUUGUAGAAGUUGUGAUGGGAUUAUAUGUAUGUAUAGGUGGGCGCAGGGGAAGAGAGUGGAUUUUGGAAAGAAUGGAAAAAAUGCCAGAAUGAGAUGAGACCCGACAAGCUGCAACUAUCUUUUGUUUUGGUUUCGUUUUCCACUCUCCAGCAUCUGCCAUCGCUAAACGACCGAGCAUCGUCUCCCCUUCACCAAUGGGUUCUUCCUGAUUGCUGCUGCUACCCUCCUUUUCUGCGAUUUGAUUUUUUUUAUUUUAUUUGAAUAUUAAACUAAAUAUGUAUUUUGAGAAAUGAUUUUUCAAAAUGACAAAAAAAAUGUGUUUUUUAAAAUUUCAAAACAGUCACUCAAAAUAUAAAAUUAAAAAUGAAUUCAAAACUCAAAAUUAAAACACAAAGGGAACACUACCUAACAUGUUCUCUUUGUUAUUUUAAAAAAUGUAAUUUUGAAAAUAAGAGAAAAUUUUGCAAAGGAAAUGAAAAACAACAAAAAAUUAAUUUGGCUGUUUUCAACCAAAACAUGGUUAAAAGUUUAAAACACGGAAAACACCUGUGUUUCCUUGUCACGUGGUGCAGACGCUUUCGAGUCCAGACUCUAUCUCUCUGCCUUCUCAUUUCCUGAAACUCAAGCAUCCAUCUUUCUUCUCUCUUCCAAGCUCCAGCAACCCAAAUCUUUCUAGCCGUCGACCGCGCCUGCCACAACCAUCACCACCACCAGGUCGUCGUCGACCACCAUCUCUUUCCCUCUUCCAGAUCUGACUCCAUCUCGGCCAUCGAUCGUGCCUCUCUUCCUUGUUGGCCGUCGAUCCCGACCCCUUCCUCUCUUCCAGCUGUCGUCGACUCCCUCUCUUCCUUGUUGGCCGUCGCAGCGCCUUCCACAGCCAUUGCUGCUGCUGCACGUCGUUGCCACCAGCAACCCAGAUCCGCGAUGCCUCGCCUUUGCCUAUGCCGGUCGUGUCUUCUUCCCCGUCGCCGUUCAUUGGUUGCCGUUCGCCUAUGCCGUCUGUCACUUCCUCCUAUGGAUCUUGUCUUCAGAUCUCAAGGUAAGCUGCUGAAAAUAUCAUGUCAAGUUUUAUGCUUGUUGUAAAGAGGAUCUAAAAGCCUUUUUCCUUAGGGCAUAGCUAUUGCUACAACUUUAUGCUGAUUAGUUAUCCUGUAAUAUAUAUCAAAUAUCAACAAGCUUUGGCAAGUGGAUCCCUUGCUCUUGCAUCUGCAUUUUGACAUAUUAUUGCCAAAACUAGGCUGUCCAUGUUCUUUUUAUUGGCAUCAUUUCUUAACUUCGGAGUCUCCUUAGGCCUAUUAUUAUCUUUUUGUGUUACAUCAGUUUUCUUGAUUAGUACACAAGUAGUGUCCUUAGGUGGGUAAAUAGACUUGGUUGCCAGUCAAUCGGAAUCAUAGCCAACUUGCUUCCUUCGUAAGGGCUCUACUUCACUAAAAAUGUUAUUGGUAGUGUAAUCAUUGAUAUUCCUUGCCGAAGGUAAAUAGGGAAGUAGGAAAAGAAUCUGACUGGAUUUUUUUUUGGCAGUAUUUGAUUACAUUAGUUAUCCUAUUAAAUAUCCUAUUUCUCUGUCUUGCAUUAGGUACUGUGUGAUGUAUUCUUGCAGAGGGAAGGCUCUUAUAAGAAUGCAUGUUUAUCAGUUUUGAUUAGGCAUAUGAAUCAUGUUUUUUGAUCGUUAACACCUCUCUGUGGUCAACUUCUGGCAUCUAGUUAUCUUUUUCUGCCAUGUGGGUUUCUUGCCAUAUUUUUUGCCCGAGUCUUGCUUCUUUAAGAUUCAAUUAUUGAUCCUUGUUUAUGUGGUUAAAUCAUUUUUACUUAAAUUGUCUAAUUUGUGCUCUAUCCACAUUCUCAUUGACCCUUGUUCAUUCUUCUUUCAUCUAUUUUAUUUUAUUGUUCCUAUUUCUGUUUCUGUUUCUUUUUCUUCUCUGUUUUUGUUUUUUUGGGGGCGGGGUGGUGGUGGGGAAGGGUUGUUGGGGUAGAGUUUAGAUAUUUAUUUCUAAUUUUGUUGUUUCUUGUUUCAGAUGUCAACAUUUUGGUAGCACCUUCAUGUAUAUGGUAAUUUUUUAUUUUUCAGUUAAAAGCUAUGAACUGCUGUAUAAAAUAAAAUGUUCAGUGAAUUUCAUUAAAUUGCUUAGGUAAGUGUUAAGAGUGUUGUCUCGAUUAAUCCAGAUUUUGUCCUAAUUUUCAUUAAAUUGCUUAGGUAAAAUUCAAAGCUGAGGCAAGUCGCUAUUUGUAUUGGCUUUCACGAAUCCACAGUUGGUGUGAUCUCUUCUUGUUGAUCUUCCGUUCAAGCUAACUAUAAGAUUAAGACAUCUAUCUGUUCUGUCUUCCAGGAAAGGGUUCGUUUGAGACGAUUAUGUUGCCAACCAACAUAUUAGAUCUUUUCAACUGAUGAUGCUCAAACUUCAAAUUCAAUCCUGGCUGUGGAUGCUUAUCCUUGUGCAGAUUGGGUGGGUAAAUAUGGUUUGCAACUUUACAGGCAGCUCCAUAUUUUUUGUCAUAUUAUAAGGAACCGUUUGCAUGUUGGUUUGGGUUGAGAUGGUAGGCUCCAAGAUGGUUUCUUAAAAAGGCAAUUAUGCUGGUGUUUGCUAAUGCUAUGCUAGCUCCAGAUUCAUCUUUUAUGGACUUGGGAAAAUGAAUGGUACAUUGAAGAGUUAGGUAUGCAGUUUGCAAGUAAGGAACCGGUCUUUAUAAAAACAACUCUUGCAGUGCUAUUUUAAUGGGAUGAUGAUUGUUGUUCUGAA